UACGUAGGGUGCAAGCGUUGUCCGGAAUUAUUGGGCGUAAAGAGCUCGUAGGCGGUCUGUCACGUCGGCUGUGAAAUCCCGAGGCUCAACCUCGGGUCUGCAGUCGAUACGGGCAAACUAGAGUGUUGCAGGGGAGACUGGAAUUCCUGGUGUAGCGGUGAAAUGCGCAGAUAUCAGGAGGAACACCGGUGGCGAAGGCGGGUCUCUGGGCCGUAACUGACGCUGAGGAGCGAAAGCAUGGGGAGCGAACAGG
rnacentral:rRNA from 1 species